rnacentral:rRNA from 1 species
UUCACGAUGGGGUGACGCAUAAGGAUAAGCUGGACCUCCUAUGGCUAUGGGGUUCGAUACGCGUAAGCUGGAUUCUCUAGGCAAAUCCGGAGGGUCUUAACAGUGAGGCGUAAAGCAGUAAGCCGUAUGGCUGAAAGCAGCUGAUUUCAUGGUGCCAAGAAAAACCUCUAAGGAGAGAGAUUGGGAACCGUACCACAAACCGACACAGGUAGACGAGGAGAAUAUCCAAAGGCGCUCGAGUGAAAGCUUGUUAAGGAACUCGGCAAAUUAGACCCGUAACUUCGGGAGAAGGGUCGCCACUAGGGUGCAAGCCCAAAGUGGCCGCAGUGAAACGCGAACGGCGACUGUUUAACAAAAACACAGGUCUCUGCAAAGUCAAAAACGACGUAUAGGGGCUGACUCCUGCCCGGUGCCGGAAGGUUAAAAGGAGAGGUUAGCCGCAAGGCGAAGCUUUGAAUUGAAGCCCCGGUGAACGGCGGCCGUAACUAUAACGGUCCUAAGGUAGCGAAAUUCCUUGUCGGGUAAGUUCCGACCUGCACGAAUGGAGUAACGAUCGUUCGACUGUCUUAACGAGUUGCUCGGCGAACUUGUAGUACCGGUGAAGAUGCCGGUUACCCGCAGCUAGACGAAAAGACCCCGUGCACCUUUACUAUACUUUUACUAUGAGUUACGGCCAUUGCUGCGCAGGAUAGGUGGGAGGCUUUGAUACCAGACUUUUGGGUUUGGUGGAGCCAACGGUGAGAUACCACCCUGCGAUUGUUGUGAUUCUAACCUCCUCCCGUGAUCCGGGAGAGGGACAUAGUAAGACGGGUAGUUUGACUGGGGCGGUCGCCUCCUAAGUUGUAACGGAGGCGCGCGAAGCUACACUCAGGUCGUUUGGAAAUCGACCGUCGAGUGCAAAGGCAUAAGUGUGGUUAACUGCGAGACCUACAAGUCGAGCAGAUGCGAAAGCAGGCCUUAGUGAUCCGGUGGUUCUGUAUGGAAGGGCCAUCGCUCAACGGAUAAAAGGUACGCCGGGGAUAACAGGCUGAUCGAAGCCAAGAGUACAUAUCGACGCUUCGGUUUGGCACCUCGAUGUCGGCUCAUCACAUCCUGGAGCUGUAGAAGGUUCCAAGGGUUAGGCUGUUCGCCUAUUAAAGUGGUACGUGAGCUGGGUUCAGAACGUCGCGAGACAGUUCGGUCUCUAUCUGCUGUGGGCGUAGGAGAUUUGAAGAGGGCUGUCCUUAGUACGAGAGGACCGGGAUGGACGAACCUCUUGUGUUCCAGUUGUCCUGCCAAGGGCACGGCUGGGUAGCGAAGUUCGGUUGUGAUAACCGCUGAAUGCAUAUAAGCGGGAAGCACGCUCUAAGAUGAGAUCUCCCAACCCAAAAGGGAAAUGAAGGGCCCAGGAAGACCACCUGGUUGAUAGGCUGGAGGUUGAAGCGCAGUAACGCGUGUAGCUUACCAGUACUAAUCGCCCGUUCGGCUUGUCCUA